CCAUAAACUGCCGUUGUUGUG
rnacentral:siRNA from 1 species